rnacentral:rRNA from 1 species
GAUGAACGCUGGCGGCGUGCCUAAUACAUGCAAGUCGAGCGAACAGACGAGGAGCUUGCUCCUCUGACGUUAGCGGCGGACGGGUGAGUAACACGUGGAUAACCUACCUAUAAGACUGGGAUAACUUCGGGAAACCGGAGCUAAUACCGGAUAAUAUAUUGAACCGCAUGGUUCAAUAGUGAAAGACGGUUUUGCUGUCACUUAUAGAUGGAUCCGCGCCGCAUUAGCUAGUUGGUAAGGUAACGGCUUACCAAGGCGACGAUGCGUAGCCGACCUGAGAGGGUGAUCGGCCACACUGGAACUGAGACACGGUCCAGACUCCUACGGGAGGCAGCAGUAGGGAAUCUUCCGCAAUGGGCGAAAGCCUGACGGAGCAACGCCGCGUGAGUGAUGAAGGUCUUCGGAUCGUAAAACUCUGUUAUUAGGGAAGAACAAAUGUGUAAGUAACUAUGCACGUCUUGACGGUACCUAAUCAGAAAGCCACGGCGAACUACG